rnacentral:rRNA from 1 species
AACGAACGCCGGCCGCAGGCUCAACACAUGCAAGUCGAACGCCCCGCACGGGUAGAGCCCGACGGGCGCGUAACGCGUGAGAACAUACCCUUUUCUACGGAAUAGCACUGGUAAACAGGAAUUAAUCCCGUAUACGCCCUACGCGGGAAAGAUUUAUCGGGGAAGGAUUAGCCCGCGCUGGAUUAGCUCGUUGGUGGGGUAACUGCCUACCGAGGCGACGAUCCAUAGCUGGUCUGCGAGGAUGAUCAGCCACAUUGGGACUGAGACCCGACCCAAACUCCUACCGGAGGCAGCCGUGGGGAACCUUCGGCAAUGCGCCCAAGCCUGAUCCAGCCGUGUCGCGUGAGUGAUGAAGGCCCUAGGGUUGUAAAGCUCUUUCACCGAUGAAGAUAAUGACGGUAGUCUGAGAAGAAGGCCCGGCUAACCUCGUG